rnacentral:rRNA from 1 species
ACGUAGGGGGCAAGCGUUAUCCGGAUUUACUGGGUGUAAAGGGAGUGUAGGUGGCAUGGCAAGUCAGAAGUGAAAACCCGGGGCUCAACCCCGGGACUGCUUUUGAAACUGCCAGGCUAGAGUGCAGGAGAGGUAAGUGGAAUUCCUAGUGUAGCGGUGAAAUGCGUAGAUAUUAGGAGGAACACCAGUGGCGAAGGCGACUUACUGGACUGUAACUGACACUGAGGCUCGAAAGCGUGGGGAGCAAACAG